ACGAAAAUUCCAAUGCCUCCAUCCAAAUGGCAUGGUUGAAGGUAUGAAACCUAGUUUUCAUCACCAACAAACUAUUAGAAACAAAAUCAUUCGUGUCUUCACUCUUCUUUCCUUCUCCGUUGAUUAAUGUGUGUGUAUGUAUAUUAUAUAUCUAUAUAUAUUGACGACCUCUGUGGAUAAAAUUACAUUUUGAUAUCAAAAUGUGCUUCGAUUUGCCGUACAAAUUGAAGAAAGGAAAACUCGUAUUUGUGAGGAAAAAUGAUGGCGAAGAUAGUGAAGAAAUAGGGCUAUUGGUGAAGGAGAUUGAGAAAUGGAACAACAAAAAACCAGUAGGAGUCACACAAGGAGAAGCUCGUAAUGAUGAUCUGUAUUCCUCCAAUCACAAAUCUUGACAAUAAUUUUUGUUGUUUGGUGAUAGUUCCGCUUCAUCAGUUUUGUCGGCGUCGGCAUAAAGGAGGAUCUCGAGAAGCUGCAGAGCGACUACGGGAUCGGCGGCGGCGCGCUACGUGGACUGGCAGCGGAGGCGUAUGGCAUGGAGGAGCUGGA